rnacentral:rRNA from 1 species
AUGGCGCUGCGCUCCCUCGUCAGGAAGUUGCCGGCCCUCGGUGCCCGGUCGCCGAUGAUGGCCCCCCGUAUGGGGCCGGUCCACGCGCUCUCGCCGGCGGCGGGUUCUCGCCUCAUGUCCCACGGUGGCACGGGGGGACAAGUGGUUUAUUCUGAUGACGAGGCAACGCUGGCCAAACAGCGCGAGGAAAUAAAGCGCAUGGCUGCAGAGUUUGACCAGAGUAUGAAGGAUAUAUCCAAGAAUUUGGAUGAUAUGGAUUUAGUUGAGAGGCGUUGCAAGGAGGACUUGGCAAAUUUCCACAGGAGGCUGGAUAACAUGCAGAAGGUGGUCAAUGUUGCUCUUAUUGUGCUGGUGCCUAUAAGUAUUCUGAAAUUUUUGUCUCUGUAG